rnacentral:rRNA from 1 species
GCUACACAUGCAGUCGAGCGGUAACAGAAGUAGCUUGCUACUUUGCUGACGAGCGGCGGACGGGUGAGUAAUGCUUGGGAACAUGCCUUGAGGUGGGGGACAACAGUUGGAAACGACUGCUAAUACCGCAUAAUGUCUACGGACCAAAGGGGGCUUCGGCUCUCGCCUUUAGAUUGGCCCAAGUGGGAUUAGCUAGUUGGUGAGGUAAUGGCUCACCAAGGCGACGAUCCCUAGCUGGUUUGAGAGGAUGAUCAGCCACACUGGGACUGAGACACGGCCCAGACUCCUACGGGAGGCAGCNGUGGGGAAUAUUGCACAAUGGGCGCNAGCCUGAUGCAGCCAUGCCGCGUGUGUGAAGAAGGCCUUCGGGUUGUAAAGCACUUUCAGUCNGGAGGAAAGGUUAGNAGUUAAUACCUGCUAGCUGUGACGUUACUGACAGAAGAGCACCGGCUAACUCCGUGCCAGCGCCGCG